rnacentral:rRNA from 1 species
GGGUUGUGAGGUUAAGCGACUAAGCGUACACGGUGGAUGCCCUGGCAGUCAGAGGCGAUGAAGGGCGUGCUAAUCUGCGAUAAGCGCCGGUAAGGUGAUAUGAACCGUUAUAACCGGCGAUACCCGAAUGGGGAAACCCAGUGUGACUCGUCACACUAUCAUUAACUGAAUCCAUAGGUUAAUGAGGCGAACCGGGGGAACUGAAACAUCUAAGUACCCCGAGGAAAAGAAAUCAACCGAGAUUCCCCCAGUAGCGGCGAGCGAACGGGGAGGAGCCCAGAGCCUGAAUCAGCAUGUGUGUUAGUGGAAGCGUCUGGAAAGGCGCGCGAUACAGGGUGACAGCCCCGUACACAAAAGCGCAUGUGCUGUGAGCUCGAUGAGUAGGGCGGGACACGUGGUAUCCUGUCUGAAUAUGGGGGGACCAUCCUCCAAGGCUAAAUACUCCUGACUGACCGAUAGUGAACCAGUACCGUGAGGGAAAGGCGAAAAGAACCCCGGCGAGGGGAGUGAAAAAGAACCUGAAACCGUGUACGUACAAGCAGUGGGAGCACCCUUUGGGGUGUGACUGCGUACCUUUUGUAUAAUGGGUCAGCGACUUAUAUUCUGUAGCAAGGUUAACCGUAUAGGGGAGCCGGAGGGAAACCGAGUCUUAAUUGGGCGUUAAGUUGCAGGGUAUAGACCCGAAACCCGGUGAUCUAGCCAUGGGCAGGUUGAAGGUUGGGUAACACUAACUGGAGGACCGAACCGACUAAUGUUGAAAAAUUAGCGGAUGACCUGUGGCUGGGGGUGAAAGGCCAAUCAAACCGGGAGAUAGCUGGUUCUCCCCGAAAGCUAUUUAGGUAGCGCCUCGUGAAUUCAUCUCCGGGGGUAGAGCACUGUUUCGGCUAGGGGGCCAUCCCGGCUUACCAACCCGAUGCAAACUGCGAAUACCGGAGAAUGUUAUCACGGGAGACACACGGCGGGUGCUAACGUCCGUCGUGAAGAGGGAAACAACCCAGACCGCCAGCUAAGGUCCCAAAGUCAUGGUUAAGUGGGAAACGAUGUGGGAAGGCCCAGACAGCCAGGAUGUUGGCUUAGAAGCAGCCAUCAUUUAAAGAAAGCGUAAUAGCUCACUGGUCGAGUCGGCCUGCGCGGAAGAUGUAACGGGGCUAAACCAUGCACCGAAGCUGCGGCAGCGACGCUUAUGCGUUGUUGGGUAGGGGAGCGUUCUGUAAGCCUGCGAAGGUGGCCUGUGAGGGUUGCUGGAGGUAUCAGAAGUGCGAAUGCUGACAUAAGUAACGAUAAAGCGGGUGAAAAGCCCGCUCGCCGGAAGACCAAGGGUUCCUGUCCAACGUUAAUCGGGGCAGGGUGAGUCGACCCCUAAGGCGAGGCCGAAAGGCGUAGUCGAUGGGAAACGGGUUAAUAUUCCCGUACUUGGUGUUACUGCGAAGGGGGGACGGAGAAGGCUAUGUUGGCCGGGCGACGGUUGUCCCGGUUUAAGCGUGUAGGUGUGUGUUCCAGGUAAAUCCGGUUCACUUUAACACUGAGGCGUGAUGACGAGGCACUACGGUGCUGAAGUAACAAAUGCCCUGCUUCCAGGAAAAGCCUCUAAGCAUCAGGUAACAUCAAAUCGUACCCCAAACCGACACAGGUGGUCAGGUAGAGAAUACCAAGGCGCUUGAGAGAACUCGGGUGAAGGAACUAGGCAAAAUGGUGCCGUAACUUCGGGAGAAGGCACGCUGACACGUAGGUGAAGUGAUUUACUCACGGAGCUGAAGUCAGUCGAAGAUACCAGCUGGCUGCAACUGUUUAUUAAAAACACAGCACUGUGCAAACACGAAAGUGGACGUAUACGGUGUGACGCCUGCCCGGUGCCGGAAGGUUAAUUGAUGGGGUCAGCGCAAGCGAAGCUCCUGAUCGAAGCCCCGGUAAACGGCGGCCGUAACUAUAACGGUCCUAAGGUAGCGAAAUUCCUUGUCGGGUAAGUUCCGACCUGCACGAAUGGCGUAAUGAUGGCCAGGCUGUCUCCACCCGAGACUCAGUGAAAUUGAACUCGCUGUGAAGAUGCAGUGUACCCGCGGCAAGACGGAAAGACCCCGUGAACCUUUACUAUAGCUUGACACUGAACAUUGAGCCUUGAUGUGUAGGAUAGGUGGGAGGCUUUGAAGUGUGGACGCCAGUCUGCAUGGAGCCGACCUUGAAAUACCACCCUUUAAUGUUUGAUGUUCUAACGUGGACCCGUGAUCCGGGUUGCGGACAGUGUCUGGUGGGUAGUUUGACUGGGGCGGUCUCCUCCUAAAGAGUAACGGAGGAGCACGAAGGUUGGCUAAUCCUGGUCGGACAUCAGGAGGUUAGUGCAAUGGCAUAAGCCAGCUUGACUGCGAGCGUGACGGCGCGAGCAGGUGCGAAAGCAGGUCAUAGUGAUCCGGUGGUUCUGAAUGGAAGGGCCAUCGCUCAACGGAUAAAAGGUACUCCGGGGAUAACAGGCUGAUACCGCCCAAGAGUUCAUAUCGACGGCGGUGUUUGGCACCUCGAUGUCGGCUCAUCACAUCCUGGGGCUGAAGUAGGUCCCAAGGGUAUGGCUGUUCGCCAUUUAAAGUGGUACGCGAGCUGGGUUUAGAACGUCGUGAGACAGUUCGGUCCCUAUCUGCCGUGGGCGCUGGAGAACUGAGGGGGGCUGCUCCUAGUACGAGAGGACCGGAGUGGACGCAUCACUGGUGUUCGGGUUGUCAUGCCAAUGGCACUGCCCGGUAGCUAAAUGCGGAAGAGAUAAGUGCUGAAAGCAUCUAAGCACGAAACUUGCCCCGAGAUGAGUUCUCCCUGAGACUUAGAGUCUCCUGAAGGAACGUUGAAGACGACGACGUUGAUAGGCCGGGUGUGUAAGCGCAGCGAUGCGUUGAGCUAACCGGUACUAAUGAACCGUGAGGCUUAACCUUACAACGCCGAAG